rnacentral:rRNA from 1 species
GUAGCAAUAUUCUGAAGUCGGAGUGGCGCAAGGGUGCGUAACACGUGGGUAAUUUGCCAUGAAGCCCGGAAUAACUCGCUGAAAAGCGAGCUAAUACCGGAUGUGAUCGUCGGGAGGCAUCUCUCGACCCUUAAAGCUGGGGACCGUAAGGCCUGGCACUUCUUGAUAAGCCCGCGGCCUAUCAGCUAGUUGGUGAGGUAACGGCUCACCAAGGCUAAGACGGGUAGCUGGUCUGAGAGGACGACCAGUCACACUGGAACUGAGACACGGUCCAGACACCUACGGGUGGCAGCAGUCGAGAAUUUUUCUCAAUGGGCGAAAGCCUGAAGGAGCGACGCCGCGUGGGGGAUGAAUGGCUUCGGCCCGUAAACCCCUGUCAUUUGCGAACAAACCUUGUUAUUUAAAAGAUGACGAGCUGAUUGUAGCGAAAGAGGAAGGGACGGCUAACUCUGUGCCAGCAGCCGCGGUAAUACAGAGGUCCCAAGCGUUGUUCGGAUUCACUGGGCGUAAGGGUGCGUAGGUGGUCGGGUAAGUCUGAUGUGAAAUCUCCAAGCUCAACUUGGAAACCGCAUCGGAUACUAUUCGGCUGGAGGGUUGGAGGGGGGACUGGAAUGCUUGGUGUAGCAGUGAAAUGCGUAGAUAUCAAGCGGAACACCAGUGGCGAAGGCGAGUCCCUGGACAACUCCUGACACUGAGGCACGAAAGCUAGGGGAGCAAACAGGAUUAGAUACCCUGGUAGUCCUAGCCGUAAACGGUGCGCAUUUGCUGUAAAAGGAAUCGACCCCUUUUGUGGCGAAGCUAACGCGUUAAAUGCGCCGCCUGGGAAGUACGGUCGCAAGAUUAAAACUCAAAGAAAUUGACGGGGGCCUGCACAAGCGGUGGAGUAUGUGGCUUAAUUCGAUGCAACGCGAAGAACCUUACCUGGGCCUUGACAUGUAUCUAGUAG